AUAAUGUUGACUGAUUCCCACCUGAAAUCCUGUGAGAAUCUCUUCCUCAAAAGGUGCCUUUAAUCGGUAAUCCUAAAAUAAAAAUUGGAUAAUACAAUUUGGAUAUGAUAUUAAAGAAGAAGAAAAGAAUGGAAAAAACUUACUGUACUUGCAAAACGACUUUUUACGACUCCGCCUUCUGAAACAUACAUUUGAGAUGUUUCAACGGCUAUUUGCCCCCAAACAUCUAGGCCCUCCAUUUUUUAAUAUUAGUUGAAAAGUUUCUUCAGUUUGAUCACCAUAAAAACGAUUUUCUUACCUCAAAGGAACAAAAAUCCAAUCCUGAUUGGUCUCUCACAGCCCCGACAGCAAUCAAUCAGCAAAAAUGUGUUAAAAUGAUUUUAUAAUUAUCCCAAAGGCGAACGAUAUGUAAAUUGGUGAGUAUUUUUCCUAAUAAAUAUUCUAUAGGAUUCAUUCAACCAAACUAAUUAUAGUAAACAAUAUUUUUAACACCGAAAUAUUUUUAAAAAUAAUAUUAAACAUUAAUUAGAUUAUUUAAUUAAAUUUAUUUAACUUUUAAAAUGAUUGAAUAAUUAAAUUCUAAAAUUGAAGAUUUAAAAUUUUAAAAAUUUUCGAAUCAUUUGUGUAAAAAUAUUUAUAAAAUUGAUUGAAUGAUUUCCCCCUAUGAGUGUAAAUAGAUUUUUUUUUAUUCGCAUUUGGAAAAUAUAACCAGUGACCUGAUAAAU